rnacentral:miRNA from 1 species
GAGCCUGGGAGUGUGUGUGUGUGUGUGUGUACACGCUCAUGUGCUCACUUAUGCACCCUCCUA